rnacentral:rRNA from 1 species
AACCGGUGAGACAGGUGCUGCAUGGCUGUCGUCAGCUCGUGUUGUGAAAUGUUGGGUUAAGUCCCGCAACGAGCGCAACCCCUAUUGUUAGUUGCCAUCAUUCAGUUGGGCACUCUAGCGAGACUGCCGGUAAUAAACCGGAGGAAGUGGGGAUGACGUCAAAUCAUCAUGCCCCUUAUGACCUGGGCUACACACGUGCUACAAUGGUUGGUACAACGAGUUGCGAGUCGGUGACGGCGAGUUAAUCUCUUAAAGCCAAUCUCAGUUCGGAUUGUAGGCUGCAACUCGCCUACAUGAAGUCGGAAUCGCUAGUAAUCGCGGAUCAGCACGCCGCGGUGAAUACGUUCCCGGGCCUU